ensembl:snoRNA
AUCCUUUUGUAGUUCGUAAGCGUGAUGACCGGGUGUUCACGCUCGUUGUGUGACAUGUGCCUCCCCUCAAACCUUGCUACAACCUCGGCACAUUACCUAUCUGGUG